GACGAACGCUGGCGGCGUGCUUAACACAUGCAAGUCGAACGGAACUCUUUGGAUCAAGACUUCGGUCAAGUGAGAUUGAGUUUAGUGGCGGACGGGUGAGUAACGCGUGAGGAACCUGCCUUUCAGAGGGGGACAACAGUUGGAAACGACUGCUAAUACCGCAUAACGCGUAUAGAUCGCAUGGUCUUUACGCCAAAGAUUUAUCGCUGAGAGAUGGCCUCGCGUCUGAUUAGCUAGUUGGUGAGGUAACGGCCCACCAAGGCGACGAUCAGUAGCCGGACUGAGAGGUUGACCGGCCACAUUGGGACUGAGAUACGGCCCAGACUCCUACGGGAGGCAGCAGUGGGGAAUAUUGCACAAUGGGCGAAAGCCUGAUGCAGCGACGCCGCGUGAGGGAGACGGUUUUCGGAUUGUAAACCUCUGUCCUUGGUGACGAAACUGACGGUAGCCAAGGACGGAAGCCACGGCUAACUACGUGCCAGCAGCCGCGGU
rnacentral:rRNA from 1 species